AUGACAUACAUCAGUGUUGAUGAGAGACAGGAAAACUGCCGGGUGAUCUUGAGCUGCCAAAAUAAUCAGCUCUAUGCACAACAUGGCUUAAAGGAUUUUUCAGUUAGCAGCAUGCAUCCACUAAAGAACUUAGACACUGRGAUUUUUUCUGGGGACUUCCACACUCUAGACUCCUGCCACGCAGGCAAGGCACCUUUGGCCAAUCCUGUGGAACACCGGAUGUAUCGGAGCGUGGAGAACCUUCACUGGGCAACAGUAGCUGACUCUGGGCUGUAUUCUCACUGCCGGAGCCUGGAUAAUGAGAUCAUUUUCCACUAUAAAGGCACCAGGCAUUGGUCAGAAGGCUGUGUGGAUGUGACCCCGGUACAGAGCGCAUCGGACUCUUUGAGAAAGCUUUCUCUCUGUGCUAAACAGACAUCACGAUCAGCACAGAAUGUGCUCCUGCCUCCCUUUGCCAAAGUGCCUCAGUGGCUCUUCCCUUCUGCAGAGGAAAGAGCCCUCCACAGGGAUGCCAAAAAAGAACUGAAGGAGAAGCUGAGGCUGCACAGCACCAGGGUGGCAGAGCCCAGCAAGCCAGUGCGCCCGCAGGCAGCCCUGACUAACCUGAUGGCCCGGGAGUUCUUUGAAUGCCAGACAUGCAGGCAGUACAAAAAUGGUUGUGGUCUCAACUGCUGCACAGUGUUGGUGGAACGCAAUGCUCUCAGGCAUGGCCUCACAGGGAGGCAGAGACUGUGUUUUGCYCACAAAAUCACCAGUCCAGAAGACAUCAAGCAGGAGGCUCAGAGAAGGCUUCAGCUCCAAAGGCAGAACAGCUCCCCCAGUUUKCCCCUUCAAGACACUGGGAAAAGCCAUGAGGUGGCCAAAUCCAGAACAGCAGAAUCCUUGGAACAAUGGAAUGGGGAAACGGAUGUCAAAGUGACAUUGGGGCAGAGUCAGAAAGGUCGCUGUAAAGGGAGGCUUUACAUCCCCACCUUUGAGGAAUUCAAGCAAAUGAGAAGUAAGGAGGCAAAUUCAUCUGCCAGCAGCAGUGGGCCAACAAAGUACUCAGAUAAGGCACUUCUUGCAAACAAGACCCUGGAGGAGGAGAACAAUAAGAAYGUCUGUCCAGAAGCUCUGGAGACCAAAGCUGUGAAUGAAGCCACAGUCACAGUGGAAGAGGAUGAUGAUGUGUUCCAUGAAAACCACAUCUCUGCUGGCUUUUCCCAUUAUCCAGCUGCAUCGGAUGGUUUUGGAAUGAGCAGCCCUGAGGUGAAGGACAUGACCUACCAGAUCUCCAGCCCGGAUAGGUCCCCAGUCCCCAUUUGCUCUAGCCCAAUUCCACGAUCACCUUUGCAGGCAGUAGCGAUCCGCAGGGCUGGGCAGGAGACCUUCAGUGAUGAGCAGCAGAAAGGAGAGACAAGACAAUUGAAUGAUGUCAUCCACCUUACAGGGCAGUCGCUGCCUUCUGAAGCCCAGUCAUCUUGCUGUUCAUCGCUGCUGUUAGAAGCCACAGAUUUAUCCAGUUAUGGAGCWAAACUACAAAAAAUGAAGGAUGAAUUCAUAGGUUCAGCCCUGGAACUUAUUAAGAAAAGGUAA
rnacentral:lncRNA from 1 species